rnacentral:rRNA from 1 species
AACACAUGCAAGUCGAGCGAUGAAGCACCUUCGAGUGUGAAUUAGCGGCGAACGGGUGAGGAACACGUGAGAAAUCUGCCUUCAACACUGGGAUAACGUCCGGGAAACCGGGCUAAUACCGGAUAUGAACCUGCGGGCAUCCGCGGGUUUGGAAAGUUUUUCGGUUGAAGAUGAUCUCGCGGCCUAUCAGCUUGUUGGUGAGGUAAUGGCUCACCAAGGCGACGACGGGUAGCCGGCCUGAGAGGGCGACCGGCCACACUGGGACUGAGACACGGCCCAGACUCCUACGGGAGGCAGCAGUGGGGAAUAUUGGGCAAUGGAGGAAACUCUGACCCAGCGACGCCGCGUGCGGGAUGAAGGCCUUCGGGUUGUAAACCGCUUUCAGCAGGGAGGAAGCGAAAGUGACGGUACCUGCAGAAGAAGCACCGGCUAACUAUGUG